AACGAACGCUGGCGGCAGGCUUAACACAUGCAAGUCGAACGAGAUCUUCGGAUCUAGUGGCAGACGGGUGAGGAACACGUGGGAACAUCCCCUUCAGUUCGGAAUAACGUUGGGAAACUAACGCUAAUACCGGAUACGUCCUUCGGGAGAAAGAUUUAUCGCUGAAAGAUUGGCCCGCGUCUGAUUAGCUAGUUGGUGAGGUAAUGGCUCACCAAGGCUACGAUCAGUAGCUGAUCUGAGAGGAUGAUCAGCCACAUUGGGACUGAGACACGGCCCAAACUCCUACGGGAGGCAGCAGUGGGGAAUAUUGGACAAUGGGCGCAAGCCUGAUCCAGCCAUGCCGCGUGAGUGAUGACGGCCUUCGGGUUGUAAAGCUCUUUUGUCCGGGAAGAUAAUGACUGUACCGGAAGAAUAAGCCCCGGCAAACUUCGUGCCAGCCGCCGCAGUA
rnacentral:rRNA from 1 species